UAAAAAUUAGUUAAGCUUAUAACGCUCGCUUGUCAGGCCUGAAUUAUUACAAUUGUAAUAUUUUUAA
rnacentral:tRNA from 1 species